UCAAUCAAUUAUCCAACGUUCUUAUGAAUAAAAUAUUCUAUCUGUUCCUUCAAUUACGCUUGAUCAUUGGACAUAACUUCAUUUAUUAGCAAUUCUCCCGUUUCCAAUAAUCAAUGUUUGACGGUUUGGUCGGGGUCAAUUAAGUUUUGCGCUUCGAAAACCCUUGCAGCGAUGGGGCUGCAAUACUGGCGUCGGAGCGGAGCCUCUUUCCCUGAUUUGGUUCCAUCUGUGUUUUUGGUGCUUUCUAGGGUUUCUUCUCAUGAGUUUUCUCCAUCGUAACAGUCAUCCGUCCAAAGAUAAAUUGGUAACCACACCAGUUAUGGCUUCGCUUGUAUUUCAAGAUUAAAAAGCAAAAAAAAGUACCUUUUGAAAUGUAAAAAUAGGUUAUUUAAUCCACCAUGAUGUAAAUUUUUGUUAGGGUAGGUUCACAGUCUGCGAAGGAAAACUAGUAAGUUGUAUUUUCUGCUUUAUUUGUUCGUUUUUUUUUCCUGCUUCCUUUCUUUUAGUUCUUAGUUAUAAUUGGUGAUUCUAGUUAGUCUCCUAUUACUCUAGAUAUUGGUAAAACCUUGCUGCAGCUGUUUUUUAUCUAGCUAUAACCAAUGCAUUGUCUUAGCUCAUGUAUUGGUAAAGUUAAACAUAUAAUGAUCCUGUCUGGCUUUUCAUUGUGUUUUCCAUUAAUAUGUGGGAUAUCUGUUACUGAUAAACUUGACUGGUAUAAUGAUGUGUUAUAAACUUACAUCAAAAGACCAAAUUUAAAUCGUCAUUUCAGUUGCCGGGUUACAAAAUCAGUUUUGUAGCAUUUGUAAGGCUAAAUUGGUGGAUGAAGUUAUCUGAUUGACUUGCAAUUUGUUGUGUCCUAUCCAGCAACUAGUGGAAUUUGUUGAGUUAGAUUGUCUAAUUUUCUAUUUCCCAAUAUAUUCGAAAGCUUUGCCAUCCUGCAUUCGUUUAAAUAUGGAGGCCUUUUCUAUGGGUCAUAACUCAUAUCAUGUGUCCUAUAAUUGUCUAUCCUUUUGUGGAAUAAAAGGGGCGCUGAUUUUCUCAGAGCUAACUUUUUUGUGAUUCUUGAAGUAGAAGCUAAUAUUCCCUCCAUUAGGUUUUAUAAGGUGUUUUUUGUAUUAAUUACAUUUUUCAUGAUACAAGAUGUUUUGCAAAAACGAUGAUACAUCAAUAAAUGUUAUCCCAAAAUACCCUUCCUAAUUUGAUGGAUAGGAAAUAUGAGUUAGGGGCUAAUAUUAAACGAAGAGUACUUUUGAAGUUUACGCUUCUUUUUGAAAUAAAUUAAGAUUCCUAAGUCCAUUUAACUGUCUUCAUUGGUCCUUGCAAAUUUUGAAGAAACAGCUUAUAAAAUGUAAUGGAGGCAGUACUAAAUUACAACAUACUGACCUUGUCCCUCUUCUGUUCUGACUUUGUUACCCUUACACUUUAUGCAUUAAUACCUUUGAAGGAAGUACGGAGAUGGCUUGAUUCUUAUAUCACCCUGCUCCCUCAAUUUAUUUAGGAUCUACGGGAUUUGGAUAGAUAUAUCCUAUUUUUAUGAUUUUAUUUGAAAUUCUAACGCCAAUCUGGCAUCACAACUUAUGAAAUCAUCUAUUUUUGUUAGUGCAACUAUGGGCAUAUGAUGGCUUUACACUUGAUCUCUGAACUUCAGGAUCUAGGAAAACAGCUGUGUUGAAAAUCUUGAAGCCAGAAAUGUUCUUCAAUGAAUUACAUACUCAAGGCAGUACCGGCUUCCAGAUGGCUGUAUAGAAAAAAGAUGCCAAAAGUAUUUUGUAAUCCCUGAAAAUUUCGUUAAUACUUCUGUCUGUUCUUGUGCUCUUUCUUCAUGGUGACGUCUGACUUUUCUCAUUUUCUGUAUAUUGAAUUGUGACUUUUCUGGCCACUUGAUAUUGGAUGAUAGCUUAGUCGACUGGCAAGGAUGGGAUGAGUGUGUCCUGGUUGAUUUUGUUUGCUAUUUCAGUUCUAAGCCCUUCUUGUCUUCGGCUGCCAUUAUUUUUGACUCUCUGUUUGGAACUUGUCGAAGGAUAAACUAUGGAUUCUUCGAAUGGACUAGCCGUGAAAAAAAACCAUCGACUGUUUUCUUUUUCUCACAGGUUAAAAAAAAAGGUAGUAUUUAUCAUACUUGUGAGCAAGGGUCAUUCACAAUUUAACAUGUUUCUGGGAAUGCAUUCCACCAUCGUGCGUGUGAGGUAACCAUGAGAUCAGAAAAGAAUUGUACAAUGCCAGAGACAUUUCAAGGUGGAGAUGCUCUCGAUAAAAUUAUAUCAAUCACAGUUGGUUAUAACAUUGCAGAUUGCAAACCUAAACAUACGAUGCAUCAUGUUAUGGUUGAUAACCUAAACAUGUGCAUACUUUUGCCAUUGUGCUGUUUGUUAAUCACUGGCUCUGCUUUAUGUUGGACCCUUCAAUCACGUGUUAUGUAUACCCUUGACUCAUUGCUUCUGAAAGAGAACUUAGGAAAGCAUUUGUUGGCUAUGUUCAUGGUUAACGCCUCAUGUAUUGUUGAUAACGCUAGGUGUUGAAUGGCUCAUGUAUUGCUUAUAAUACUGUGUUUAUGGAUGUCUUUUUUUAUUUUUUAUUUUUUUUGGGAACCUGGUUUAUGGAUGAUGUAUUUGUACAAUAUGGUUGGUGGAUUGCUUCAAAA